AUGAUAUUGUAACUUCACUGCAUGCUAUACAAGAUUUGACAAAAAUGACAUCACUAAUGUCAUUCCGUGUAGCUUUAACCACCAGUAAAUUGCUGGAAUGAACAAUCAUUUCCUUGACUUCACUCAUGCUUCCAAAAGCUCCACGGCACUGAACCAAAAAAUCUAAGUGGAGUUCAACUUCAGAAUCAUAAUCAACCAUGUGUAUAAAACGAGAAACUAAAUGUGCUGAAUGGUUG
rnacentral:misc_RNA from 1 species